GGGCCCGCACAAGCAGUGGAUUAUGUGGUUUAAUUCGAAGCAACGCGAAGAACCUUACCAGGGCUUGACAUGGAGACGACCGAGUAAGAGAUUACUCUUUCCUUUCGGGGACGUCUCACACAGGUGGUGCAUGGUUGUCGUCAGCUCGUGUCGUGAGAUGUUGGGUUAAGUCCCGCAACGGGCGCAACCCCUAUUGUUAGUUGCUACGAGAGAGCACUCUAGCGAGACUGCCGUUGACAAACGGAGGAAGGCGGGGACGACGUCAAAUCAUCAUGCCCCUUAUGUCCUGGGCUACACACGUAAUACAAUGGCGCAUUAACAGAGGGAAGCGAAGCCGCGAGGUGGAGCAAAUCCCCAAAAGGCGUCUCAGUUCGGAUUGCAGGCUGCAACUCGCCUGCAUGAAGUCGGAAUUGCUAGUAAUCGCGGAUCAGCAUGCCG
rnacentral:rRNA from 1 species